CAUAAGUAACGAUAAAGCGGGUGAAAAGCCCGCUCGCCGGAAGACCAAGGGUUCCUGUCCAACGUUAAUCGGGGCAGGGUGAGUCGACCCCUAAGGCGAGGCCGAAAGGCGUAGUCGAUGGGAAACAGGUUAAUAUUCCUGUACUUGGUGUUACUGCGAAGGGGGGACGGAGAAGGCUAUGUUAGCCGGGCGACGGUUGUCCCGGUUUAAGCAUGUAGGCUGAUUAUCCAGGCAAAUCCGGAUAAUCAAGGCUGAGGUGUGAUGACGAGGCACUACGGUGCUGAAGUAACAAAUGCCCUGCUUCCAGGAAAAGCCUCUAAGCAUCAGGUAACAUCAAAUCGUACCCCAAACCGACACAGGUGGUCAGGUAGAGAAUACCAAGGCGCUUGAGAGAACUCGGGUGAAGGAACUAGGCAAAAUGGUGCCGUAACUUCGGGAGAAGGCACGCUGGUGUGUAGGUGAAGCCCCUGCGGGUGGAGCUGAGACCAGUCGAAGAUACCAGCUGGCUGCAACUGUUUAUUAAAAACACAGCACUGUGCAAACACGAAAGUGGACGUAUACGGUGUGACGCCUGCCCGGUGCCGGAAGGUUAAUUGAUGGGGUUAUCCGUAAGGAGAAGCUCUUGAUCGAAGCCCCGGUAAACGGCGGCCGUAACUAUAACGGUCCUAAGGUAGCGAAAUUCCUUGUCGGGUAAGUUCCGACCUGCACGAAUGGCGUAAUGAUGGCCAGGCUGUCUCCACCCGAGACUCAGUGAAAUUGAACUCGCUGUGAAGAUGCAGUGUACCCGCGGCAAGACGGAAAGACCCCGUGAACCUUUACUAUAGCUUGACACUGAACAUUGAGCCUUGAUGUGUAGGAUAGGUGGGAGGCUUUGAAGCGUGGACGCCAGUCUGCGUGGAGCCAACCUUGAAAUACCACCCUUUAAUGUUUGAUGUUCUAACGUUGGCCCCUGACCGGGGUUGCGGACAGUGUCUGGUGGGUAGUUUGACUGGGGCGGUCUCCUCCCAAAGCGUAACGGAGGAGCACGAAGGUUAGCUAAUCCUGGUCGGACAUCAGGAGGUUAGUGCAAUGGCAUAAGCUAGCUUGACUGCGAGCGUGACGGCGCGAGCAGGUGCGAAAGCAGGUCAUAGUGAUCCGGUGGUUCUGAAUGGAAGGGCCAUCGCUCAACGGAUAAAAGGUACUCCGGGGAUAACAGGCUGAUACCGCCCAAGAGUUCAUAUCGACGGCGGUGUUUGGCACCUCGAUGUCGGCUCAUCACAUCCUGGGGCUGAAGUAGGUCCCAAGGGUAUGGCUGUUCGCCAUUUAAAGUGGUACGCGAGCUGGGUUUAGAACGUCGUGAGACAGUUCGGUCCCUAUCUGCCGUGGGCGCUGGAGAAUUGAGGGGGGCUGCUCCUAGUACGAGAGGACCGGAGUGGACGCAUCACUGGUGUUCGGGUUGUCAUGCCAAUGGCACUGCCCGGUAGCUAAAUGCGGAAGAGAUAAGUGCUGAAAGCAUCUAAGCACGAAACUUGCCCCGAGAUGAGUUCUCCCUGAGACUUUAAGUCUCCUGAAGGAACGUUGAAGACGACGACGUUGAUAGGCCGGGUGUGUAAGCGCAGCGAUGCGUUGAGCUAACCGGUACUAAUGAACCGUGAGGCUUAACCUU
rnacentral:rRNA from 1 species